AGGGGCGGGGCCGCGGGUCACCUGCAGGGGCGGGGCCGCAGGAAAUCUUUAUUCCCAGGAGAUUUCUCAUUUUGCAGAAAUAAGGAUCCACAGAAUCCUAGGAAGUUGAUGCAGUCGAAGGGAAAAAACUGCUGCGCCGACUCUGCUGAGGGCGUCACAAGCCCUUGUGCACGCGGGCUUAUUUGCCAGUGAGUGGCAUCGUGAUAAGACCUAAUUCUUUGCUCUUUGAGACCUAAAAAAUUUUCUUUGGGAAGAGCCCGUUUUUUUACUAAAAAGAUCAGACCAGUGUGGCCUGUGUGGACCUGCUCUGUACCAAGAUCACACUCUUAGUUGGAGAAGAGAGAUAGCAGGAAUAAAUAAAGGGCUUUCCUGUCUCCCGAGGGAGCAGAGAAACCUCUGUCCUCUCCGUUCCCCAGCCACAGCCUGCGGUUGGGGGACUGGAAACAAGCUUAGGCUGGCACUUGAUGUUCAAAUGCAAGUCUGGUUUAAAGUUUGACUCAGGAAGUUAAUGAUCUGACCAGAGAGACAGGUUUUUAUUUUGAGAACUGACAAACUUUGUCUCCUUAAAACAAAGGAAGUAGUUAAACCAAGGCCACAGAAAGAGAAAUUCGCUGCAUACAACUAUAAGCAGGCAGGAUUUUAUCAGAAGUUUAAUAGAAUUUGUAGUUCAGCUGACACACUGAAGAUGUCUUCACUGUGACCAGCCUUGUCAACAGUGGGUUCACAGUGACACAGGCUGGGUCUAGGAUGUGUCUUGCAGUCGGUAGCCGUGCGAGGCUGCAUAUGAUUCCCAAGUCCAGUGGCUCUCUUCCUGUGCUUACAGAUUAGGCCAUGACUUUCCCUACUGCAGGAUGUUUGUAAGAGCAACUCUCAACUGAGGAAUUUGCUUAUUUGACUACUCUAAUACUGCUUGGUUGAGAGAGUUCAAAGUAGAAAGUUUUCUGAGGGGAUAAGAUUUAUGUAUUAUUUACAGUGCUUCAGUUGUACGUAUUAGAAAAUCUGUUCUAAAUUGGCUUUAACAGAAAAAGGUGUUGCUGGUCCAUGUGACAAACAGGUUCUGGCUUUGCAGAGCCAGGGUUCUGCACCUCCUUCCGGGCUCUCCUACUGAGGCUUUGCUCUCAGAAUCUCCCCUUGUGGAGACAAAAUCCCACCGCAGGUAGAAACAGCAGUGCCUCGGACUAUGUUCUUCUGGCAGCCCCUGCAAGUCCCUCAUCAGAUGCUGGCAUUGGACCAGCUUUAGUCAUAAAGUUCUGCUGUGGCACAAAGAGGAAUGCUGGCCUGAUACAGCAGCCUCGGCUCAUCCACUCCACUCCCGGGACUAUGGCUGCAGCAUCGAUGGAAGCAGGCAAGUCGUGCUGCCUCUGAAAUAAAGUAGAUGAAAUAUUCAGCCGCAGAAAGAACAAGUUUCCACUCCAGUGAACUAAUUCAAAUGUAUCGAGCAUCUAAAUAUAUGUAUGAUUUGUAUAUAAAUAUAUAAUUAAAAUGUAUUGAGUAUCUAGAUAUUCUCUCCCAAGAUAAUUACUACCUGACAGUAACGCCUAUAAAAGCUAAAAGUGGAAACAGUCUACAUGUUUAGCAGUAGGAAUCAAUCGAAGCAUACAUCAAAACACAGACAGCGUUAUUGUGAAUAACCCUAUACCUUCCAAUUUGAAAUCAGAAGCAAAAAAGGCUGCCAAAAUAUUAAGAGAAUUCACAGAAAUAACUUCCAGAAAUGGACCUGACAAGAUCAUUCCUGCUCACGUGAUUGCAAAGGCUAAAGGCCUCGCAGUUCUGUCUGUGAUCAAAGCCGGGUUCCUGGUGACCGCCAGAGGAGGCAGUGGGAUUGUGCUGGCACGCCUUCCAGAUGGAACAUGGUCUGCACCCUCAGCCAUUGGGAUAGCCGGCCUUGGUGGGGGAUUUGAAAUAGGAAUUGAGGUAUCAGACUUGGUGAUAAUUCUGAAUUAUGACCGUGCUGUAGAAGCUUUUGCGAAAGGCGGAAAUCUCACCCUCGGCGGGAAUGUGACUGUGGCUGUGGGGCCCUUGGGAAGGAACUUGGAAGGAAACGUCGCCCUGAGAAGCUCAGCCGCUGUCUUCACCUACUGCAAGUCCAGAGGACUCUUUGCAGGCGUGUCUUUAGAAGGGAGCUGUUUGAUUGAAAGGAAAGAAACUAAUAGAAAAUUUUAUUGUCAAGAUAUCCGAGCGUAUGACAUUUUAUUUGGAGACACACCACGGCCUGCUCAAGCCGAAGAUCUUUAUGAAAUUCUUGAUUCCUUUACUGAAAAGUAUGAAAAUGAAGGACAACGGAUCAAUCUGAGAAAAGCAGCAAGGCAGCAGAGGAAGCCUUCUGCGAAAGAACUACCUCCGAAGCCAUUGUCAAGACCGCAGCAGUCUUCUGCACCAGCCCAGCUGAACGCUGGCUCUCAAAGUAACAGAAAUGAAUACAAGCUGUAUCCUGAACUUUCCGGCUAUCACGACAGAGUUGGCAAUUUAAAUCCACCCAUAGAAGUGACAGCACUGUAUUCAUUUGAAGGACAGCAGCCUGGGGAUUUGAAUUUUCAAGCUGGAGACAGAAUCACAGUUAUAUCAAAAACAGAUUCACAGUUUGAUUGGUGGGAAGGAAAGCUUCGAGGUCAAACUGGCAUUUUUCCAGCCAACUAUGUAACCAUGAAUUAAAGCUUAAACUACUUUCUUCUUUGAGAAUUACCAAAAAAAUUAUUUCUACACUGGCAGGAUUUGCUAGUUAAGCAAUGUUUAAUAUACAUUUACAAAAAAAAAACUUCUAUAAAAUUUCCAUUCAAUAUGUAAAAUAUUUUGUUUUCCUAUAUAAAAAGAGUUGACCUACAUAUCUUUAAAUACUUUUACUAACUUUAUCACAUAUGUUGUGUCAUAGACUAACCUACAAUUUAUGUGGUCAUAGUUCUUUUGUGAACAUUUUCAAGCAUCACUAAGCAUUUGAUCUAGCUAUGUACAUGGUAGCUGUAUUUUAAUUUAAGAAUUUUGAGGGUAGUGCCAUGAAUGUCAAUUCAUGCAUUUCUAUUUGCAAAGUGACUAGAGAAAAAAAAAUCAGCUUAUAGGAGGUAUUCAGUAAUGUUUAGAGUUGUAAGUGUUAACUGGACUAUGAAUCCUUAGAAAUCUUUAUACCUUCAAAAAUUGUACAAAUGCAUUUAUCAUAGAAACAUGAUUACAAGAAGUCUGACCACCAUAUAUUUAAAAAUAUGACGUCUCAACUUUUCUUCCUUAUGGGGCUACGUUUGUUCAUUUCCAGCAGGCGAAUAAACUUACGGUGACAUGCUUGACUUGUCUCUAAAUAAAAUUGUAAAAUAUUUACUAAGUGAA